rnacentral:rRNA from 1 species
GACGAACGCUGGCGGCGUGCUUAACACAUGCAAGUCGAACGGAAAGGCCCUGCUUUUGUGGGGUGCUCGAGUGGCGAACGGGUGAGUAACACGUGAGUAACCUGCCCUUGACUUUGGGAUAACUUCAGGAAACUGGGGCUAAUACCGGAUAGGAGCUCCUGCUGCAUGGUGGGGGUUGGAAAGUUUCGGCGGUUGGGGAUGGACUCGCGGCUUAUCAGCUUGUUGGUGGGGUAGUGGCUUACCAAGGCUUUGACGGGUAGCCGGCCUGAGAGGGUGACCGGGCACAAUGGGACUGAGAUACGGCCCAGACUCCUACGGGAGGCAGCAGUGGAGAAUAUUGCACAAUGGGCGGAAGCCUGAUGCAGAAACGCCGCGUGCGGGAUAACGGCCUUCGGGUUGUAAACAGCUUUCGCCUGUGACGAAGAGUGAGUGACGGUAAUGGGUAAAGAAGCACCGGCUAACUACGUG